rnacentral:rRNA from 1 species
CGGGGGGCUUCCGGGGUUUUACUCCCUAACCCUUCUGUGAACCUACCUAUUCGUUGCUUCGGCGGACUCGCCCCAGCCCGGACGCGGACUGGACCAGCGGCCCGCCGGGGACCUCAAACUCUUGUAUUCCAGCAUCUUCUGAAUACGCCGCAAGGCAAAACAAAUGAAUCAAAACUUUCAACAACGGAUCUCUUGGCUCUGGCAUCGAUGAAGAACGCAGCGAAACGCGAUAAGUAAUGUGAAUUGCAGAAUCCAGUGAAUCAUCGAAUCUUUGAACGCACAUUGCGCCCGCCAGCAUUCUGGCGGGCAUGCCUGUUCGAGCGUCAUUUCAACCCUCGACCUCCCCUUGGGGGGGUCGGCGUUGGGGACCGGCAGCACACCGCCGGCCCUGAAAUGGAGUGGCGGCCCGUCCGCGGCGACCUCUGCGCAGUAAUACAGCUCGCACCGGAACCCCGACGCGGCCACGCCGUAAAACACCCAACUUCUGAACGUUGACCUCGAAUCAGGUAGGACUACCCGCUGAACUUAAGCAUAUCAAUAAGCGGAGGAA